AACGAACGCUGGCGGCAUGCCUAACGCAUGCAAGUCGAACGAGACCUUCGGGUCUAGUGGCGCACGGGUGCGUAACGCGUGGGAAUCUGCCCUUAGGUUCGGAAUAACUUCGGGAAACUGAAGCUAAUACCGGAUGAUGACGUAAGUCCAAAGAUUUAUCGCCAAAGGAUUGGCCCGCGUUGGAUUAGGUAGUUGGUGGGGUAAUGGCCUACCAAGCCUACGAUCCAUAGCUGGUUUGAGAGGAUGAUCAGCAACACUGGGACUGAGACACGGUCCAGACUCCUACGGGAGGCAGCAGUGGGGAAUUUUGGACAAUGGGCGCAAGCCUGAUCCAGCAAUGCCGCGUGCAGGAUGAAGGCCUUCGGGUUGGUUAAACGUAGU
rnacentral:rRNA from 1 species